GUGUCAUUCCUCUAUCUCUUCCAAUUUGCUAGUCUACCCUAUAAGACUCAACUGAAAUAUCAGUUACUUCAGGAAGGCUCUCUUCCCCUCUACCUCAGGUGUAUCUCAAAUAAAGCUGUAGGAGGCAAAUAUAAAGAAUCAGCAAACACCUUUAACCUGGACUCCUUGAAACUAAUCUUGGAUUCAUUUGAGAGGGUUUGGUUGAAGAAGUCAUUAUGGAAGGGAGGAAAAGUCACAGAGAGAGAGAGAGGCAGAGACACAGGCAGAGGGAGAAGCAGGCUCCAUGCACCGGGAGCCCGACGUGGGAUUCGAUCCCGGGUCUCCAGGAUCGCGCCCCGGGCCAAAGGCAGGCGCCAAACCGCUGCGCCACCCAGGGAGCCCGGAAGGGUGAUGAAUUGAGAAAAAUUGUCUUCUGAUGAGAGUCUAUUUUCAGUGUAAUCAUUCCUGUGAUAAGGAGAAGCUUCGUAUCUGCAGUCAUUUGACAGACCAAGCAAGUUACCAAGACAGAAACUUUGUCAUUUUCUUAGAUGGAGACCCAGAAGACAACAAGCAAGGGAUAGGGAAAAAAUACAAUUUCUUUGGAUGCCAGAGGGCCCCUGUCCAGCCCUUGUUUAUAUUCUUCCUUACUAGUUACAUUAAAAGGAAAAAUUUGAUACUGUUGGAAAACAAAAUCCUCAAGACCUUCAUAAAUUUGAACUUUAUAAACUGAGGAGGAGAUUUCAGAGCAAUGACAGGAGUUUUAAUAAAGGAAAACAGAAUACCAAACCAGGAAUUUGAAAAUUGAGAAAAUUCUCAGUGUUGAUGAAAGGUAUGGAUAUGGAGAUUUAAGGAACUAAUGGAACUGUUUUUCUGUGGAGAGUCUUAGAGCC